rnacentral:sRNA from 10 species
UACACAAAAAAUAAUUGCAAAAUACAAAAAAGAAUGAUGUGCCAAUCGUCUUAGCUGCGUGCAGCAUGUCCUCGCUGCAAAGCAAGAACAUCCGCUGAGGAAUGCUAUGU